rnacentral:lncRNA from 1 species
UUGCCUAGCACUGCCCAAGGAGGGGGCAGUGGUCUUUGGAGGCAGGAGAUUACUCUAGACAAAGGUCUGUGGGGGAGACAGAAGGAGUUUACCAGAGAAGAUCCCUGUUCUCCUGGAACUACUAAGGGAGCAGAUGGAGUAAAUGAGAGGCACCUGGGUGGCACAGUGAAUAGAGAGCACUGAGCCUGGAGUUAGGAAGACCUGAAUCUUCUUAUAUACUCUCAGACUUCCAAAUACAGUCUCAGACACUUCCUAGCUUUGUGACCCUGAGCAAGUCACUUCAUCUCUGCCUGCCUCAGUUCUCCCAACUAUAAAAUGGGGAAAAUAAAAGUGCCUGUCUCCUAGGGUUGUUGUGAGGA